rnacentral:misc_RNA from 1 species
CACACACACACACACACAUAUUUUCUGAUGAGAAUUAUUGUGGACAGGCUAGGAGAGAAAAGAUAAGUGAAAGGAUGAAAAUUCUUCAGGAUCUAGUCCCUGGUUGUAAUAAGGUAUGGUGUUGAAAUUUUAUUUAAAUUCAUAUCAAGUUUAGUCCCCAAGCACCUGCAGGUCUGGUCAAUUAGAAUAGAUUAUGGAAUUGUAAAUUUCUGCUUAUGAAUAACUUUUUAAUAUAAUCAAGGGCAGCGUUGUAGUCAAUGACAAGGCUCUACCUUGAUGCUUUAUGAUAUAUAGUACAAGAGAACAGUUAUGAGAUUUUUUAUCAGUUUCUGCUUAACAUGGCUUAAAACUUUAAAUUACUGUUUUCUAAGGUAGGUUUUCUGUUUCAGGUUAUUGGCAAAGCCCUUGUCCUUGAUGAGAUUAUUAACUAUAUCCAAUCAUUACAACGUCAGGUUGAGGUAUGCAUCCUUAUUUUCCGUAAUUUAUAUUCCUCCUUGUUACCCCAUUGAUGUUGAAAUUAAGCCCUACAAAUUACUGGAAAUUGUAGUUCCUAUCUAUGAAGCUUGAAGCAGUAAAUUCAAGAAUGAAUCCUGUAAUUGGAGCUUUUCCUUCUAAAGACGUAAGUCCUAUUAUUUUCAUUGUCAUGGAAGUUAUUUUCGCUCCUCUAUCUAAUUUACUAUCCUUGGAUUGACAGUGUGGGUAGCACCCUUUUCUUCUUUUAUUUUUAUUGUUUAUUUUUUUUAAGUUCUUAAGUUACUUGAUGGGCUUGUAGCUCUUUUGUGGGCUGCACAUCGCAUUCAAACUAUUUAUCAAAUUUAUCUGAUUGAUGGAUAUAUAGUCAGUCUCUGGUGAGAAUUUCCAACCUAAAGUGAGACCAAGAAGGUACAGAGAGUUCCCCAAGGUUACUUUACCACUGGGGAGAUGGUUGGCAGAUUGGGUUAUCCAUUUCAAUUAGGCCAAAGCAGAGUUGUGUUUUUCUUUUAUGAGGUUAAUUGUAGCUAGUGAACCUUAGCCUUAUUUAGAUUUAUGUAAACUUCUUAUAAUGGUCCUCCUUUUGUUAAUUUGGCUAUAUCCUGGCUAAUAGUUGAGCAAAAACUGUUUAAUGGCAAGAUCAUUUUGGUCAAUGGUCAUGAUAAGUUCUCAUUGUAUUCAUUACUUGUUUUUAUCGUUUACCAUUUCUGCUUAAGAAUUGAUAUGGCAUAAUCCUAUGUUUGUGGAUGAACCUUCAACCUGUCAGAUAUGGUUAGAAUAAGUUGCUGCAUAAGUUGACACGUUAUUUACGAACUUUUGAUGAAGAUUGUCCAUGGCAAUGAACAUCUACAGAUUUGUUCAGUUUAUUUCUCUUUAUGGAAUAUAUUUGGGGAAAAAGAGAACAGAACGGCUGAGUGCCUGACCAAUGCAAGAGAUUUAAUGAUAAAUUUCUUCCUUUUCCACAUUUCAAGAUUCUUACUACAAAUUAACUUUUCAUUUCAGUUUGGCCAACAAACCUAUGAUACUACAGGCGUGACAUUUGGUUCACAAGCCACAGGGGAAUACAGCCGUGGUGCAUCACUGGAUUGGUUGCAUAUGCAGGUUGGUGGUGGUUUUGAAAGAACAUCAUAAUUUCAAAAGAUAAUCAUCAAUUAGUAAUAAGGGCAUCAAGUAGCAAUUCUUCUUCCUUCAGUGGCUGUCAGAAUAUAUACCCCAUUAUGUUAAAUCAAAGAUAGAACAUAUUUCAUUUUCAACAUCAGACUUUGGAGCUGUGCUUGCUGUCUAAAAAGACUGCUUACCUAAACAUAUCCAUUCAUUUGUGUGUUGGAAAAUGAUUCUUUUCUCCAUGUAUCUCUUGGCUGGCUUCACGUUCAUCUCUGUUCGAAGACCUGAAUAGUGCCUUCCAGAAUGAGUAUUGCUCUUGUAAAAGAAAGUUGUUUGUUCAAAAUUUUUAAUGCUUACAUAUCGUAUAAACCGUGUUUUCAACAUUGGACUUUUUGUUGUUGAGAAGCUGGAGCUUGUUCAAUAAAGUAAGUCUUUGGAAG